GAUUAUGACUGAACGCCU
rnacentral:ncRNA from 2 species